rnacentral:tRNA from 4 species
GGGGAUGUAGUUCAAUGGUAGAACUUCAGCUUCCCAAGCUGAUAGCGCGGGUUCGAUUCCCGUCAUCCCCUCCA